CCCGCCUGGGGAGUACGAUCGCAAGAUUAAAACUCAAAGGAAUUGACGGGCCCCGCACAAGCAGCGGAGCAUGCGGCUUAAUUCGACGCAACGCGAAGAACCUUACCAAGGCUUGACAUAUACAGGAAUAUGGCAGAGAUGUCAUAGCCGCAAGGUCUGUAUACAGGUGGUGCAUGGUUGUCGUCAGCUCGUGUCGUGAGAUGUUGGGUUAAGUCCCGCAACGAGCGCAACCCUCGUUCUGUGUUGCCAGCAUUUAGUUGGGGACUCACAGGAGACUGCCGGGGUUAACUCGGAGGAAGGUGGGGAUGACGUCAAAUCAUCAUGCCCCUUAUGUCUUGGGCUGCACGCAUGCUACAAUGGCUGGUACAAACGGCUGCGAUACCGCAAGGUGGAGCGAAUCCGAGAAAGCCAGUCUCAGUUCGGAUUGGGGUCUGCAACUCGACCCCAUGAAGUCGGAGUUGCUAGUAAUCGUAGAUCAGCAACGCUACGGUGAAUACGUUCCCGGGG
rnacentral:rRNA from 1 species